UGGCCGCAGGGCCCUCUUCCUGUCCUCCGGACACGUGGACGCCCUGGAGGCCGCGCUGCCCGUGUGCCUCCUCGCCCCACUGUCUCACGAGGGCGUCCACAAGGCCCUGGAUGAGCGUCUCCGCUCUGUCCCCCAGGGCAGGCCGCAGCAGCUGGAUCAGGGCCUCGCGGUCCAGCCCGAUGUGACACAGGGCGUUCAGGAUGAGGUUCUCCACCGCCAUUGCCUCCCACCACUGCGCUCCAAAGAUGUCUCGCAGCUCCUGGUGCAGCCAUGGCAGCACAGGGUCGAGCAUCUCCUGGUGCUGCCUGAACAGGGCUGCCCACACCUCCAUCAGGAGACCGCCCACCAUAGGCCGCUCGCCUGCCUCCUCAUCCUCCUGCUCCUCCGGCAGCAGCAGAAAGGGUGGAGGGGAUGGCGCAUCGUGCUGGGGGCUGUAGAUGUGGGCGAUGCCUGCCUGGAAGGAGGCAGGAACUGGUGGUGCUGGGGGACGGAUGAUGAAAUCCAGGUCGUUGUCAUCAUCCCACUCAGCAACCUUGACCACUGUCAUUAUCCUCCUGCAGAGCGGGCAGGUCUCUUUCUGCUUGGCCCACCGCAGGAUGCAUCCGAGGCAGAACUCGUGAUGGCACGGCACUGCGUAGGCAAUGUCCUUUCGCACGUCACGGCAGAUGGGACAUGUCCACGCCUCCUCUGCUGCCAUGGUCUUCACGCCAUGGCCUGAUGGGGAGUGAAGAUGAGUUGCUCUCCCUCACCAGCGCCUCAGCAGUGAAAUUUGUGCACUGCAAGAGAGGGAGGCCAUGGUCAUUCCUUGUUGCAGGGACAGAUGGAAGAAACGUCCUGCUCCCUCAGCACGAAACCCUCCAGACCCCACACCUGUGCUGCCCUAUGCCCCACGCCCUCACAGGGUUGGACUGCAGCCCCAGCCAUGGCAGUUCCCCCAACUCAGAGCUCACCCCAUGGCCACCCUGGGGGACGUGUCCCCACCCAGCUCACCUGUGCUGCUGCACGUGCACCCCGUGGGGCCCCG
rnacentral:lncRNA from 1 species